GGGGAUCAUCAGGAAAUGAACAUUUGUUGUGGCAAUAUAAAUCAAGGCUGCUGUUUCUGGUGAAGGUCAGAAGGUGAACAACAGAGUCCCGGUUCCUUCGUUUAGGACGCAAAUGUUUAGCUGAUGCAUACAUAGUCGGUGGGACAAAGAAUGCCUUUUUUAAUCUGAUCCUCAGA